UACGUAGGCAGCGAGCGUUGUUCGGAAUUACUGGGCGUAAAGAGUGUGUAGGCGGUGCUCUAAGUUCGGUGUGAAAUCUCCCGGCUUAACUGGGAGGGUGCGCCGGAAACUGGAGUGCUCGAGCGUGGGAGAGGAAAGCGGAAUUCCUGGUGUAGCGGUGAAAUGCGUAGAUAUCAGGAGGAACACCUGCGGUGUAGACGGCUUUCUGGACCAUUGCUGACGCUGAGACACGAAAGCUAGGGGAGCAAACAAG
rnacentral:rRNA from 1 species